rnacentral:lncRNA from 1 species
UUACCGUAGAUGCAUUACAGACAAAACCUUAUCCUUUCAUUUGAGGGACCACAUCAAUUUGGAGGACUUUGAGAUUUCCCUCACACCCAUUCACCAAAGCUCAAUACUCCCAAAGUUCACUCAAAGUUCAUCAUUAGAACUUUGAGAAAACUGAGCUGAAGCCACUGCAAAGCCGAGAGACACCCAAAGUCAGUGAAGGAAAACGAAGAAAGGCGAAAAGAGAAACCGAACGGAGCUUACCGGGGACUUGGAGAGAUUUUUGCUCGAAGAGUCAUCGGAGUUUAAGUGGUCGAAAGCUUCAGAUCUCCUUCCGUCGGUACUUCUUCUUCCCCAUUUACUCACUUCAUGCUAAGAUCUCUAACAUAGUUGUUAUUCACUCAAUAUUGAAUCGAUGUUUCUACUUUUACCGUAAUGCAUAAAUAACUGGAUAUUUGUUGAAUGAGUGUAUUAAUCUCUAUUAUCGCUUUGAAUAUGCCAUCGAAGCUCCUUGCGUCCCAUAUUGCUCCAUUCAUGUGCGCUCUGUUUUGAAUGUUAGGUUUCAAUUUGGUAAACUUGGGAUCUAGGGUAUGAUCGAUUGUUUGCAUGUGUGUUAGAUUUGUGAUGCUCAUCAAGGUUGGGUUAGAUUCUUUGUGAAAUCUGAUGCAGAAAUGCGGUUGAUUCCAGUUUCCAAAGGAAACUUCUUUUAAACAAAUAAUGUAAUUAAUAAAAUGGGUUUAUUUGGUUUUAAUAUAUAUGAAUAGUCAUUAGUGAUUGCAUUAUUCAAGGCCAGCUAGCUGGUGAAUUUAAUUUGUUUUCUACAG